CAGAAACGCACCAGCAGUCCAGCAAUGUCGCAAAGCAUCGCAGCCCCAAAAUUGCGAGCCUAGUCCAGUCCAACGUUUCUCUCCAAAUUCGUACCAACAGUGCAGCAAAAGCAAGCACGCGUUUCCCCUCCCUUUCCUCUUUUGGAAUAAGGUUGAAGCUUCAGAAAAAGGUGUUUAGCCUAAUGGUGAAAAGAUUUGAAUUUUGGAAAUAUGUCUUACUCUUACCCGAAAAUCAGCCUCUUUCCCCCCAAAAACGAAC
rnacentral:lncRNA from 1 species